rnacentral:rRNA from 1 species
ACAUGCCUACAUUAUAGCGUUAAUGCACUUGAUCCCAUUAGAACUCCGUAGUUAAGCACACUCGGGCUAUAGUAGUAUUGGGAUGGGUGACUGCCCAGGAAGUCCUAGUGUUUUACAUGAC